rnacentral:rRNA from 1 species
UACGUAGGGUGCGAGCGUUGUCCGGAAUUAUUGGGCGUAAAGGGCUCGUAGGCGGUCUGUUGCGUCGGGAGUGAAACUCAGGGCUUAACCCUGAGCCUGCUUCCGAUACGGGCAGACUAGAGGUAUGCAGGGGAGAACGGAAUUCCGUGGUGUAGCGGUGAAAUGCGCAGAUAAUCAGGAGGAACGACCGGUGGCGAAGGCGGGUCUCUGGGCAG